AAAAUUGAAGGUYUAAUYUGCCCAAUGAUAUUUGAAUGGCCGCGGUAAUUUGACCGUGCAAAGGUAGCAUAAUAAUUAGUCUUUUAAUUGAAGGCUUGAAUGAAAGAUUGGAUGAAAAAUAAACUUUAUUAAUAUAAAUUAUUUAACUUAUCAUUUAAGUAAAAAUUCUUAAAUAUAUAAGUGGGACGAGAAGACCCUAUAGAGUUUUAUUUUUAUUUCUAUUAUUAAAUUAAAGAAUUAGUAUUUUUAUAAUAUAAAUAAAUUUUUUAUUGGGGUGAUAUUAAAAAUUAAUAAACUUUUAAUUAAUAUUUCAUUAAUAUAUGUACUUUGAUCCAAAAAAAUUUUGAUUAUAAGAUUWAAUUACCUUAGGGAUAACAGCGUUAUUAAUUUGAAGAGUUCUAAUCGAUAAAUUANUUUGCGACCUCSAUGUUGGAUUAAYAAUGAAUUUUGAAGCAGCAUUUAAAAUCAUAGGUCUGUUCGACCUUUAAAUUCUUACG
rnacentral:rRNA from 1 species